CCUACGGGGGGCUGCAGUGGGGAAUUUUGGACAAUGGGCGCAAGCCUGAUCCAGCAAUGCCGCGUGCAGGAUGAAGGCCUUCGGGUUGUAAACUGCUUUUGUACGGAACGAAAAGCUUUUCUCUAAUACAGGAGAGUGAUGACGGUACCGUAAGAAUAAGCACCGGCUAACUACGUGCCAGCAGCCGCGGUAAUACGUAGGGUGCGAGCGUUAAUCGGAAUUACUGGGCGUAAAGCGUGCGCAGGCGGUUAUGUAAGACAGAGGUGAAAUCCCCGGGCUCAACCUGGGAACUGCCUUUGUGACUGCAUAGCUAGAGUACGGUAGAGGGGGAUGGAAUUCCGCGUGUAGCAGUGAAAUGCGUAGAUAUGCGGAGGAACACCGAUGGCGAAGGCAAUCCCCUGGACCUGUACUGACGCUCAUGCACGAAAGCGUGGGGAGCA
rnacentral:rRNA from 1 species